AACUUUUAACAACGGAUCUCUUGGUUCUCGCAUCGAUGAAGAACGUAGCAAAGUGCGAUAACUAGUGUGAAUUGCAUAUUCAGUGAAUCAUCGAGUCUUUGAACGCAACUUGCGCUCAAUGGUAUUCCAUUGAGCACGCCUGUUUCAGUAUCA